CGCAGGCGCCGAGGGGAGCCGCUCCCUCCCGCCGGCGCCGGAGCCCCUGGGCAGCGCCGUGGGGAGGGGGGAACGAGGGAGGGAGGCAGGGCCGUAAUUUCUCCUCACGCUCCCCCUGCUCCGGGAGCCGGGCGGGAAGGUCAAAUGAGUCAAAUCGCAUUGACUGAGCAGAACUCGAGCUUCCAAAAAUGGCAUCGAUGAAGCAGGGGCGACCCUGAACAAUGUGUGCCUGAAGAGGCUGCGGGGGCACGGUGGGAGCUCCCACAGGUGGUCGCAGCAGCGUCAGCAGCGGGGGUGGCUACCCACAGAUGCCACUGGCAGUGUUGGCAACAGCCAGCGGAGAUCAGCGAUGGCCUGCAGAUGGCAGCAACGGUGUUGGUGGCAAGGGGGGGUGGUGGCAAGCAGCGACUGCCUGCAGGCACCACCAGCACAUGGCGGUGGCCAAUCACAGGGGGUGCGUGUGCACCCCCUACGCGUCACCAAUGAGCACGACUCCAUCGUUUUAAACGCCGUGUACGGCACUGCAACUGGCAACAUCCUCCACCCCAGACCUAUCACCAGAGCCAUCCCUAGGGGUGUGCACGGCCCAGGGCACAUUAGCCUGUGCACAUAUUGCUUCCCAUCCACUCUGAUGUUCCCCGACACACAUUUGCAUUUUCACAGACCUGCAUUUUGCAUGUUGGCUUACACUUCUAUUCCACCCAGGAGAGCACAAACCAGCAGACUCUCCCUGCGCCUGAAGAAGGGUGUUUGUUCCUGAAAGCUUGUAAAGAAAAUUUUGUCCAAACUAUUUAGUUGGUCUAAUAAAAGAUACUGCAUUUACCCCCAAAAACCUAUAUGAUCUGGGACUUCAAGUACAGGCAACCCCUACUUAACGUUGUUUUGCUUAUUGCUAUUUUGCUAUGACGUUCAUUUUAAAUUGAUACCUGAUUCCACUUAGCGCUCAGCAAGUUUCAUUAUAACGCUCGUAGUCGCUACCUUGUAUCAUUAAAAAAACUUGCAGUCACCA